CGGCAGGCCUAACACAUGCAAGUCGAGCGGUAGAGAGAAGCUUGCUUCUCUUGAGAGCGGCGGACGGGUGAGUAAUGCCUAGGAAUCUGCCUGGUAGUGGGGGAUAACGUUCGGAAACGGACGCUAAUACCGCAUACGUCCUACGGGAGAAAGCAGGGGACCUUCGGGCCUUGCGCUAUCAGAUGAGCCUAGGUCGGAUUAGCUAGUUGGUGAGGUAAUGGCUCACCAAGGCGACGAUCCGUAACUGGUCUGAGAGGAUGAUCAGUCACACUGGAACUGAGACACGGUCCAGACUCCUACGGGAGGCAGCAGUGGGGAAUAUUGGACAAUGGGCGAAAGCCUGAUCCAGCCAUGCCGCGUGUGUGAAGAAGGUCUUCGGAUUGUAAAGCACUUUAAGUUGGGAGGAAGGGUUGUAGAUUAAUACUCUGCAAUUUUGACGUUACCGACAGAAUAAGCACCGGCUAACUCUGUGCCAGCAGCCGCGGUAAUACAGAGGGUGCAAGCGUUAAUCGGAAUUACUGGGCGUAAAGCGCGCGUAGGUGGUUUGUUAAGUUGGAUGUGAAAUCCCCGGGCUCAACCUGGGAACUGCAUUCAAAACUGACUGACUAGAGUAUGGUAGAGGGUGGUGGAAUUUCCUGUGUAGCGGUGAAAUGCGUAGAUAUAGGAAGGAACACCAGUGGCGAAGGCGACCACCUGGACUAAUACUGACACUGAGGUGCGAAAGCGCGGGGAGCAAACAGGAUUAGAUACCCUGGUAGUCC
rnacentral:rRNA from 1 species